rnacentral:rRNA from 1 species
ACGCUCGACACCUACGGGAUGCAGCAGUGGGGAAUAUUGCACAAUGGGGGAAACCCUGAUGCAGCGACGCCGCGUGGAGGAAGAAGGUCUUCGGAUUGUAAACUCCUGUUGUUGGGGAAAAAGAGGAUGGUACCCAACAAGGAAGUGACGGCUAACUACGUGCCACAGCCGCGGUAAUCUGAGCGGGCUGGCAAGGC